rnacentral:lncRNA from 1 species
CACUCUUCUGGUCUGUGUUUGUUACGGCUGGAGCUGAGCUUUCGCUCGCCGUCCACCAUUGCUGUUUGCCGCCGCCACAGACCUGCCGCUGACUUCCAUCCCUCCGGAUCCGGCAGGGUGUCUGCUGUGCUCCUGAUCCAGUGAGGCGCCCCUUGCCGCUCCCGAUUGGGCUAACGGCUUGAGAUUGCUCCUGCACGGCUAAGUGCCCAGGCAAUGACACUCCAACAGCAAUGAGCAUGUCUAAUGCAGAAAUCUUGGUUUCUAACACCAUCCUUCAAUAAAAGGAAUCAAGGAUCCUUGGAGAAGCAGGUGAUUGUAAGACGGGCAGAAGAUAUACAAGACGACCCUGCAGCAUCUUGUAGUGCCUGAAAGUUUGCCACAAAUUCUUUCUUGUGUGAGAUCCAAGAACCCACUCUUUGGAUGUGGAUCCAGACCCCUUUCCGGUAACAUCUUCCUGGUGAACCAUGAAGGGAUGAUACUGAGGAGGCCAUGACCCGAAGGAAAUAGACCGCAACACUAAUUGGCUGACUUUGGCUUCUUUUAUUUAGCAUGUAGCUGACAUUUUGAUUGCCAUCUCAUGAAAGACUCUGAACCAGAACUUUCCUGCUAAGCUACUACUAAAUUAUUGAUUCACAGAAACUGUGAGGUCCAUGAAAAAAUUUGCAUGAACAAGGAAGAGAUGAAAUUGUGGACAGUCAAAAGUGUGGUCUAGCUGCCCUGGUGGGCUACCAAGGAAACUUGCCAUAUUAGUCUGGAGUGAGUUUUGACUGAUCAGAUUGGACAAUAAAAGGCUCAGCUGUAAUUCCAGGAGACUUAAUUAGUCAUUUGCAACCUUAAGAUACAGCUAUCAAGAAGCCAUUUAAAGGAUUCAUGAGGGAAGAGAACAGGUGGAUACAGGCUUCAGAUUUUGAGUUUGAUACCGAGAGGAAGAAAGAGGCUCACAACUUCACAACUGUGUGAAUGGGCCAAAACUUCAUGGAAUGCUGUAAAACAAGAGCCAAAUGUGAAAUGGUUUAAAUAAUGUGAAUUAGUAACACUCUUGGAAACCUGAGUACAAUUUGUUGUUUGAUGAUAGUUUUGACUUGGUUUCUAAUGCAGUGAAGGUCAAAGAUUAAGAGACUCAUCUAGAAUCUAGUAGUAACAAAAAGGAACCCUUGGAUAUGGCGCG